rnacentral:rRNA from 1 species
UACGGGGGGGGCAAGCGUUGUUCGGAAUUACUGGGCGUAAAGGGCUCGUAGGCGGCCAACUAAGUCAGACGUGAAAUCCCCAGGCUCAACCUGGGAACUGCGUCUGAUACUGGAUGGCUUGAAUCCGGGAGAGGGAUGCAGAAUUCCAGGUGUAGCGGUGAAAUGCGUAGAUAUCAGGAGGAACACCGAUGGCGAAGGCAGGUCUCUGGGCCACUACUGACGCUGAGAAGCGAAAGCAUGGGGAGCGAACAGG